rnacentral:rRNA from 1 species
GAUGAACGCUACGCCUACGAGGCUAACACAUGCAAGUCGAGGGCAGCGAUUUAGGUUGCGUUGCGAAACUAAAGAUGGCGACCGGCGCACGGGUGAGUAACACGUAUCCAACCUGCCGAUAACUCGGGGAUAGCCUUUCGAAAGAAAGAUUAAUAUCCGAUAGUAUAUUAAAACCGCAUGGUUUUACUAUUAAAGAAUUUCGGUUAUCGAUGGGGAUGCGUUCCAUUAGUUUGUUGGCGGGGUAACGGCCCACCAAGACUACGAUGGAUAGGGGUUCUGAGAGGAAGGUCCCCCACAUUGGAACUGAGACACGGUCAA